GGACAUGUGGUUAGCUCUGUGUAGGGGCUUUCAGGAGGCUCUGGGCCCAGACGAUGUGGCACAGGCACUGAAGCGGAAGCAAAAAUCUGUCAGCAUACCACCAAAGACCCCCCUGCUGGCUACACACUCUCCCUUCAGUAUUCUGUCCUUGCUGAGCUCUGAAUCUGAACAGUACCAGUGGGACGGAAACCUGAAGCCACAGGCAAAGUCGGCCCACCUGGCAGGCUUGCUUCUGCGAAGCCCCACCCACUACAGUAGUUGCCGUUGGCCUCUGCUGCUUGACCCCAGCAACCAGGCCCUCAGCUGGUUGGACCCGCUGCCUCUGGAAGAGAAUAGAUGUUUUGCACCAGCCCCCACUGAGGGUGGAGGGAAAGGCCUCAUGAGAAAUCAAAACAGAGAGAGUAAAAUGGACAUGAAAGAGGAAGAUGAUGAGAGUGAAGAGAGUAAUGAGGCCAAGGACCAGACAAAAGAGCAGAAGGCAGAGGAAAGAAAAAAUGAGCAGGAGAAAGAGCAAGAGGAAAAUGAAGAGAAAGAGGAGGAGAAAACAGAGAGCCAGGAGUCAAAGCCAGCCUAUGAAACUCAGCUUCCAUCUGUUCCCUACCUUAGUGUUCUUUCAGGUGCUGACCCAGAGCUGGGUUCUCAGCUCCAGGAGGCAGCUGCUUGUGGUGAGAACUGGUCCCCACCCACCCUGGCUCCUUUUUCACUUGCCCCAUUCUGUGACUCCACAGGCCUCCCACACCUCAGUCUAACUUCAGUUCCCAUCCUUCAUCCCGGGCACUAACUAUAUUGAAGCGUCUUGUGGGAACCCUCCUAUCAGCCACAGGGAAGCUGGUCAGAGCUAGACCUCGUGCCUGGGGAAUGGGGAUCAUGGGUGCUGGCAUUGUGGGUAGGGUGCCUUUGCCUCCCUCUCACAGGCCUGCCUGUGCUACUGACCAACGUGGAGCUGGGUCUAGGGUGCCAAGAACUGCAAUGGCUGCUGCAGCGGGAGCAGCUGAGUCCACCCCAGGUGCAGCCUGGCUUCUGUCUAUAUCUCAGCACCACCCUCUCCCUCUGUGCCAUGGAAAAAGGUGAGGCCCAGAGGGCAAAUUGCCAGCACAGUUGUGUGGACACACUAGGCCCUCAGCACCAGCCCUAAGAGGGCUUCACUCAACCUGGCCCAGAGCAGGCACAGGUCUAUAGCAGGGAGCCACACUCCCUGUCUACUGUACCCCCUGGCUCUGCCAAGGGGAAGAGGUUAAGCAUGUCGCAUGUUACCCCAAGUGCUAGGUUGUGAACUGCUAAAGGGGCUGAAUGUGCUGGAUCUGGGCCUGAACAUGGAAAUACUGGAAGAACAGAUGCUGCAUGAAAUCUUGUGCAGAGAAUGUCCUGAGCUCGAGACCCGCUGGCAGGACCUAAAGAUCAGAGCCCUAGAUACCUGCAAGGCUGUGGAGGCUGCUGAGAAUCCAAAGCAUCAGAAGCCAGCCAAGUUUCUGCGGAACAUGGUGAGGGCCCAGGGAAAGCUAUGCCAGCUGCGUGCUCAUUGUGAAGAGCUAGAAGGGCAGAAACUACAGGAGAUGGUAUCGUGGGCACCCUAUCGGCCUGUGGUUUGGCAUGGAAUGGCCAUGGUAAAGGCCCUAAGCCAACUGCAGAACCUGCUACCACUUUUCUGUAUGAGCCCAGAGAAUUGGCUGGCAGUCACCAAGCAGGCUCUGGACAGCAUGAAGCCACGUGAGAUUAAUCACGGGGAGGACCUGGCCAGCCAUCUACUGCAACUGAGAGCACACCUGACCCGCCAGCUGCUGGGCAGCACCGUGACUGCGCUGGGCCUUACCCAAGUACCCUUGGUGGGUGCAUUGGGCGCUUUGGCUCUGCUGCAAGCGAUAGGGAAAGCAUCAGAGCUGGAAAGAUUGGCACUCUGGCCUGGACUAGCAGCCUCUCCCAGCACAGUCCACAGCAAGCCAGUCUCAGAUGUGGCUCGACCGGCCUGGCUUGGGCCAAAAGCCUGGCGUGAAUGUGAGAUGUUAGAGCUGCUGCCCCCAUUUGUUGGCCUGUGCGCCUCCCUGGCAGGCCACCCCAGUGCUUGGCAGGCUUACCUGUCACUAUCAUCCACAGUGCUGGGUCCUGCACCUGGGCCUGGGCCUGAGCCACUCAGCCUCCUCCAGAAGCUGAUCCUGUGGCGCGUUCUGCGACCUGAGUGCCUGGCAGGUGCCCUGGCAGACUUCACCACUAGCCUCCUGGGUCGGCCCCUGGAUGAAAACAUGUGCGCUCCCACCAUGCCCUUUAAACACAGUCAGGCUACUCAGCCCAUGCUGAUCUUGUUGCCACCGCCUGGCCACCCCUCAGCCACUCUGCAUCCUCUGACUGUCAUCCAGAAACUGGCUGCCAAGUAUCAGCAGGGGCAGAAGCAACUGCAGGUGAUAGCCCUGGGCUCUGAAGCCUGGGACCCAGUCUCAGUUGUGGUCAGCACUCUAUCCCAGGCUAUGUAUGAGGGGCACUGGCUGGUGCUGGACAACUGUCAUCUGAUGCCCCAUUGGCCAAAAGAGCUGCUACAGCUCUUGCUGGAACUGUUAGGCAGAGCCAAGGUGUUUGCAGACCUGGAAUCAGAACAGCUUUUAGACCAACCUGAAAGCAGGAAUGUAAGCACUGUUCACAGAGAUUUUCGUCUUUGGCUUAUUGUGCCUGCAGAGUCUAGUGCUUCUUUGCCAGCUGUGCUGACUCAGCACUCCAUGCCUAUUUUCUGGAACCAGUCCCUGGAGCUGGGCCAUGUUUUGAUUGACGGUGUGGAGCUAGCCCAGCAAGUACUCUACAUGCAACCCCCCACCCAGGCACUACCUCUGCUCCUCCUCCAUGGCCUCCUGCUACACCGGCAGCUCUAUGGAACAAGGCUGCAGGCACACAGGGGGCGCUGGAGUCAAGUGACUCUAACCCAGGUUCUUCAGACCCAAGAUCAGCUGUGGGCAAGUCUUAGCAAUCCCUGUGCUGCCAUGCAAGAGCUGGCUGGUGAGACCCUUCCUCUCCCCCUUGGAGUCAUCAGCCCCCAGGAGAGCCUGGAAGAGGGUGGGGGUGGGAUAUAAUUCACAGCUUUGGUUUUGGGGGUGGUGGAAACUGAAAGUACUGGAACUGAGAGACUCUAACCUCAUCUUCAGCUUCAGUUUUCUACGGGGGUCCUCUGGGGGACACUGAGGACAGGGAGGCCCUGAUUAGCCUCACACAAGCCUGCCUGAGCCCCAGUAGCGGCAGCUGGGUCCAGCCACACACACCCCAGUCUUUGCUGGCCACACUCAUGCCCCUCCCAGAGCUAAGGGAGCUGGAUGCAAUGGCAGAGUGCAAGGCCCAGAUGCACCUACUGCCCUCACCACCUGAACCCCGGCUCUGCGGACUGAGUGAGGGCCCCCAAGCCUGGCUGUUGCGACGCCAGAGUCGCGCUCUCUUGAGUGCGCUGCAGCGGAGUUCACCCGUGUGGGUUCCUGAGUCUCGAAGAGGCGCCCAGCUCGCGGAAAGGCGACUGCGGCAACGCCUAGUGCAAGUCAACCGGAGGCUGGCGUCACUGCAGGAUCUGCUGACCCACGUGGUUCGCCAAGACGAGUCUGGCGCCCCGUGGUCAGUGCUGGGGCCGAAUGAGCGGCGGCCUCUGGAGGGCGUCUUAGAGACCGAGGCUUUAGAACUGAGCCAGUUGGUGGGCACGCUACAACGCGACCUUGAUUGCCUGUUGCAGCAGCUGAAGGGCGCACCCCCGUGCCCCUCCCGCCGCUGUGCUGCGGUGGCCCACGCUCUCUGGACUGGCCGCCUACCCUUGCCUUGGCGACCUCAUGCGCCGGCCGGUCCGCAGCCGCCCUGGCACUGGCUGCGACAGUUGUCGCGCCGUGGGCAACUGUUGGUUCGUUACUUGGGCGUGGGUGCGGACGCGAGCAGUGAUGUACCAGAGCGCGUCUUCCACCUGUCAGCCUUUCGCCACCCGCGCCGCCUGCUGCUGGCCUUGCGUGAGGAAGCUGCCCUGGACCAGAAUAUGCCUAGCUCGAAUUUCCCUGGUAGCCGAGGCUCGGUCUCCAGUCAGCUCCAGUAUAAACGUCUGGAGAUGAACAGCAACCCUCUGCACCUCAGGGUGGAGAAUGGUCCAAACCCCAUGGUUCCAGAGAGAGGGCUGCUGCUGAUCGGGCUACAGGUCCUACAUGCGGAGUGGGACCCAAUAGCUGGAGCCUUGCAGGACGGUCCUUCCAGCCAACCCAGCCCUCUGCCUCCCAUCAGCAUCAGCACACAGGCCCCGGGCACCAGUGACCUGCCACCCCCAGCCGACCUGACUGUGUACUCCUGUCCUGUGUACAUGGGAGGGCCCCUUGGCACCGCUAAGCUGCAGAGCAGGAACAUCGUGAUGCAUCUGCCCUUACCCACCAAGCUCACCCCCAACACCUGUGUCCAAAGGAGGGUCCACGUGUGCAGCCCACCCCUGUCUUGAGCACAUCUACCAAAAUAAAGCUGUAGUGAUUCCAUGAAAGA
rnacentral:sRNA from 1 species